rnacentral:rRNA from 1 species
GUGCCAGCAGCCGCGGUAAUACGUAGGGUGCAAGCGUUAAUCGGAAUUACUGGGCGUAAAGCGUGCGCAGGCGGUUAUGCAAGACAGAUGUGAAAUCCCCGGGCUCAACCUGGGAACUGCAUUUGUGACUGCAUGGCUAGAGUACGGUAGAGGGGGGAUGGAAUUCCGCAUGUAGCAGUGAAAUGCGUAGAUAUGCGGAGGAACACCGAUGGCGAAGGCAAUCCCCUGGACCUGUACUGACGCUCAUGCACGAAAGCGUGGGGAGCAAACAGGAUUAGAUACCCUGGUAGUCCACGCCCUAAACGAUGUCAACUAGUUGUUGGGGAUUCAUUUCCUUAGUAACGUAGCUAACGCGUGAAGUUGACCGCCUGGGGAGUACGGUCGCAAGAUUAAAACUCAAAUGAAUUGACGG